GACGAACGCUGGCGGCGUGCUUAACACAUGCAAGUCGAACGGAAAGGCCCUGCUUUUGUGGGGUGCUCGAGUGGCGAACGGGUGAGUAACACGUGAGUAACCUGCCCUUGACUUUGGGAUAACUUCAGGAAACUGGGGCUAAUACCGGAUAGGAGCUCCUGCUGCAUGGUGGGGGUUGGAAAGUUUCGGCGGUUGGGGAUGGACUCGCGGCUUAUCAGCUUGUUGGUGGGGUAGUGGCUUACCAAGGCUUUGACGGGUAGCCGGCCUGAGAGGGUGACCGGCCACAUUGGGACUGAGAUACGGCCCAGACUCCUACGGGAGGCAGCAGUGGGGAAUAUUGCACAAUGGGCGGAAGGCUGAUGCAGCAACGCCGCGUGCGGGAUGACGGCCUUCGGGUUGUAAACCGCUUUCGCCUGUGACGAAGCGUGAGUGACGGUAAUGGGUAAAGAAGCACCGGCUAACUGUG
rnacentral:rRNA from 1 species